UUUAAUUUGUUUCUACUCUUUGAAAUUUGUUGAGAACUUCACCUCGCCGCUAUUCUUAAUAUUGUUUGAAGAUUUUAUAAUAAAUAUAUAGUAUUAACACAUAACUUUAUUGGUUACGUGGAAGAAAUUGUUUUUUAGAGAUAAAGUUGUUGUCACUGUUAUUUUUAUAUUCGGUACAUAGUAAAAAAAAAGGAUUAUAUUCGAUAUAUUUGGAUCAACGGUGUUUUGUUAAACCAUUAGGGCCCAGCAGAUUUCCCUUACAAGACUAUAGAUAUUUUUAAAGGGGUAUACCAACAAGAAGGUAUAUAUCAAUAACUCCACGUAAAUUUAACCGAAGCCUGUAUGUUUACGACUUAGUGUUGCAGUCUCAUUAUGACCUUGGUGAUCGUUUAACUGUGGAAUUAAAAGGAUCACUAAAAAAGGAAGGUGGCUUCAAGUGAGGUUCGUUCUCUAACAGGGGUCCCUUAUGUGAAACGAUCUAUACACUUAUUGGUAAUAUUAUGAACGAUUUUUUAACGGCAAUCGGAAUGGAAAAUUUCCCUGUAUCUGCCGGUAUCUACACCGUGAAUAGUUUUAUAUUGGACAGUGAGAAAUUUAAUGUUCCCCAACUGUAUGGUGACUAUCAAACGAUUUCAAAAUACGUAAAAACAAGGAGCUAUAGAAUUGUUUU